CCUACGGGAGGCAGCAGUGGGGAAUAUUGGGCAAUGGGCGCAAGCCUGACCCAGCAACGCCGCGUGAAGGAAGAAGGCUUUCUGGUUGUAAACUUCUUUUAAGAGGGAAGAGAAGAAGCCGGUACCUCUUGAAUAAUCCACGGCUAACUACGUGCCAGCAGCCGACGUAAUACGUAGUUGGUAAGCGGUGUCCGGAUGUACUGGGUGUAAAGGGCGUGCAGCCGGGAAGACAAGUCAGAUGUGAAACCCCGCGGCACAACCGCGGAACUGCCUUUGAAACUGUGUUUCUUGAGUACCGGAGAGGUCAUCGGAAUUCCUUGUGUAGCGGUGAAAUGCGUAGAUAUAAGGAAGAACACCAGUGGCGAAGGCGGAUGACUGGACGGAAACUGACGGUGAGGCGCGAAAGCGUGGGGAGCAAACAGGAUUAGAUACCCCAGUAGUC
rnacentral:rRNA from 1 species